rnacentral:rRNA from 1 species
GAUGAACGCUGGCGGCGUGCCUAAUACAUGCAAGUCGAACGCGCAGCGAGAGGUGCUUGCACCUUUCAAGCGAGUGGUGAACGGGUGAGUAACACGUGGAUAACCUGCCUCAAGGCUGGGGAUAACAUUUGGAAACAGAUGCGAAUACCGAAUAAAACUUAGUAUCGCAUGAUAUCAAGUUAAAAGGCGCUACGGCGCCACCUAGUGACGGAUCCGCGGUGCAUUAGUUAGUUGGUGGGGUAAAGGCUCACCAAGACAAUGAUGCAUAGCCGAGUUGAGAGACUGAUCGGCCACAUUUGGACUGAGACACGGCCCAAACUCCUACGGGAGGCUGCAGUAGGGAAUCUUCCACAAUGGGCGCAAGCCUGAUGGAGCAACGCCGCGUGUGUGAUGAAGGCUUUCGGGUCGUAAAGCACUGUUGUAUGGGAAGAAAUGCUAAAAUAGGGAAUGAUUUUAGUUUGACGGUACCAUACCAGAAAGGGACGGCUAAAUACGUGCCAGCCGCCGCGGUAA